rnacentral:rRNA from 1 species
AUUGAACGCUGGCGGCAUGCUUUACACAUGCAAGUCGAGCGGCAGCGCGGGGGCAACCCUGGCGGCGAGCGGCGAACGGGUGAGGAAUACAUCGGAACGUACCCGAGAGUGGGGGGAUAACGCCGCGAAAGCGGCGCUAAUACCGCAUAUUCUCCGAGGAGGAAAGUGGGGGACCGCAAGGCCUCACGCUCACGGAGCGGCCGAUGUCGGAUUAGCUAGUUGGUGGGGUAAAGGCCCACCAAGGCGACGAUCCGUAGCUGGUCUGAGAGGAUGAUCAGCCACACUGGGACUGAGACACGGUCCAGACUCCUACGGGAGGCAGCAGUGGGGAAUUUUGGACAAUGGGGGCAACCCUGAUCCAGCCAUGCCGCGUGAGUGAAGAAGGCC